rnacentral:rRNA from 1 species
AUUGAACGCUGGCGGCAGGCCUAACACAUGCAAGUCGAGCGAGCGGCGGACGGGUGAGUAAUGUCUGGGAAACUGCCUGAUGGAGGGGGAUAACUACUGGAAACGGUAGCUAAUACCGCAUACCAUCAGAUGUGCCCAGAUGGGAUUAGCUAGUAGGUGGGGUAAUGGCCCACCUAGGCGACGAUCCCUAGCUGGUCUGAGAGGAUGACCAGCCACCUUGUAACUGAGACACGGUCCGAGCUCCUACGGGAGGCAGCAGGGGGGAAUAUUUCACAAUGGGCGCAAGCCUGAUGCAGCCAUGCCGCUUGUGUGAAGCAGGCCUUCGGGUUGUAAAGCACUUUCAGCGAGGAGGCGUUACUCGCAGAAGAAGCACCGGCUAACUCCGUGCCAGCAGCCGCGGUAAUUC